CGGGCCCGCAAGGGAGACCGACCAUAGCUUCUUCUCCACGACAGAAGGCCUUGAACGUGUAGAGGUGGCGAACGGAGCGGUGAAGGAGGAGGGCCCCAAGGAGGCAGCGGCGGAGGUAUGGAAACCACCGCCUGGGAUUAAAGCAUCAGUGAAGAUGCUGCUUUGGAGAGAUUCAGAUUUUAGAGAAGAAAGGAGGUCAUGAGAGAUCAUUACUUUAUCACUGAACUGGAAUUAUUGGGAGGAAAACCAACUAUAUCCAAGCUACUGGAAGAUGCACAACCACUGAUAAUUAGGAAGAAAUAAAACUGAUAACUAAAUGAAUGUGCAGUUUACACGCAAAGGUGCCUCAGCUACGAACCUGGUGAAGAAUGAGAAAAGAAAUCUUUCUUCCCCUACAGAAGUAAGUGAAAGUUUAUCCCUUCUGGCUUGGGGGAUUGUGGAAAGAAAAACAUAGC